rnacentral:rRNA from 1 species
AGGACGAACGCUGGCGGUGCGCCUAACACAUGCAAGUCGAACGGUGAACCGGGCUUCGGCCCGGGGAUCAGUGGCGAACGGGUGCGUAACACGUGGGCAACCUGCCCCCGACCCUGGGAUAACCCCGGGAAACCGGAGCUAAUACCGGAUACUCUCCUCUGACCACCUGGUCGGAUGAGGAAAGGUCCGCCGGUCGGGGAUGGGCCCGCGGCCUAUCAGCUUGUUGGUGGGUAACGGCCUACCAAGGCAUCGACGGGUAGCUGGUCUGAGAGGACGACCAGCCACACUGGGACUGAGACACGGCCCAGACUCCUACGGGAGGCAGCAGUGGGGAAUCUUGCGCAAUGGGCGAAAGCCUGACGCAGCGACACCGCGUGGGGAUGAAGGCCUUUCAGGUCGUAAACCCUUCGGCAGGGACGAAGCGAUCUCGUGACGUACCUGCAGAAGAAGCCUCGGCUAACUACGUGACCAGCGAGCCGC